rnacentral:rRNA from 1 species
UACGUAGGGUGCAAGCGUUGUCCGGAAUUAUUGGGCGUAAAGAGCUCGUAGGCGGUCUGUCGCGUCGGUCGUGAAAACUUGGGGCUUAACCCUGAGCUUGCGGUCGAUACGGGCAUGACUGGAGUUCGGCAGGGGAGACUGGAAUUCCUGGUGUAGCGGUGAAAUGCGCAGAUAUCAGGAGGAACACCGGUGGCGAAGGCGGGUCUCUGGGCCGAUACUGACGCUCAGGCACGAAAGCGUGGGGAGCAAACAGG